rnacentral:rRNA from 1 species
AUGUCUCCGCCAAUUCCACCGCCACCACCACCGCUGCCCGCCAAAUCCUCCACCACCGCCGCCUCUGCGCCGGGCGUCACGGCCUCGCUCUCGGCGGGCACCACUGCGUCGCUCUCAGCGCCGGUCCUAACGGCACCCGGCACCACGCCGGGCCAAGGGCAGCCACAGGCCCCCGUCCAACACUCGCCGCCGCCAUCACCUCCCCCGCAGCCGCAACAGUUCACGCCGGAGGCCAUGGCGGGCGUCCUCGACGACCUCGUCACCGCGGUUCAAGGGAUCCGCCUCUACCUGGCAGGUCCGUACGGGCCGCCCCCACCACUCCAUCCAGCCAUGGCCGCGGGUCAGCAGGCGCUUCCGUGGUACUCGGCACCGGGGGCCAUCACCGGACUCCAUCCAGCCAUGGCCGCAGGUCAGCAGGCGCUUCCAUGGUACUCGGCAACGGGGGCCAUCACCGGAGGCUACCCGGCGCUCCCCGCCCCAGCGGCCGCACCGCCGCCUUGGGCGCAGUGGCCGCCGCAGAUCGUGCCGGCAGCCCCGCCACUUCUCGCCACCACGGGGCCGCAGUGGCCCACUUGGACCGUGCCGGCCGCGCCGUCCUCCGUCGCGCCCUACCUUCCAGCGGCCUCGGAGCAGGGUCCUCCACCGGCCCCGCCCAGCCCUAACCUGGGCACCGGCGCCUCGGAGCAGGGCCAGACCCAGCAGCUUCUUCUGGCGUCACCGCCGGCCCCCACGCCGCAGGCGCCGGUGCAGCUCCACCAGGCGCCGCCGCCAUCGACAGUACCACCACCCGCGCCUAGGGCUACGGGCCGGCCCCUGCACCAGGUGCAGUUUCCACCGUCACCAUCGCCGAUCCCCGCUUGGGCGACCGGCUCGUCUUCGGGGCCGGUCUACUCCACGGCGCCGGAACACCCGACGCCCUCCCUGCGGUUUGAUCACCCCUCCAGCUCGGCGAACUACGCCCCGGCGCUUCCCGACCCAGCAUACGCGCUGGCGGCGACUACGGCCGCCCCCGGGCAUGGCGGGCCGACACCCCCUCGCUUCGCCAAACUGGACUUCGCCACCUACGAGGGCACGGAGGACCCCCUCAACUGGCUCAACCAGUGCGAGCAGUUCUUUCGAGGGCAGCGGACGCUCGCUUCGGAUCGCACCUGGCUCGCGUCCUAUCAUCUUUGA